rnacentral:rRNA from 1 species
AUGUUCUAUGUUGAACUUCAAAGUACACAAAGUCCACGAUCGUACACGUCCCUUUACCUACGGAAACGUGGAGAGGCUUUUCGGGAUAGUCACCUGCCUGGUGCGAUCGAUAGUGUGAGCUACAGCCCUAUCGACGGGCACACCAACAAAUCUAAAGCGUACAAGUUCCAUGGUAUCGGUACCCAUCUCCACGCGCGCCCGACCGGCCGUGUUUAUUUUGAGCACCCAUGGAUGCAUUCCGCGACAUGGGCAACAGGGCAAGCUAGCUGCACCAUGCAUGCGUCCACGCCUCUGCGCGCGUACAAGUUCCGCGUACGGCGGUCUUUCAAGUUUGAGAAUUUCUGGGUAUCUUUGCCCGGAUUCGAUGAGGUGGUAAAAAAAGCUUGGGGCGAGGGGGUGAGGCACACAGAGCCUUACCAAAUCUUGCACCACAAGCUCAAGAAAACCGCGCUUCGUCUCACCGAGUGGAGCAAGAAGGUGUUCUCCAAGGCAAAGAUUCAACUUCAUGCGGCCCAGAUUGUGAUCCUUCACCUCGACAUCGCGCAGGAGGAGAGGCUGCUAUCCCCUGAGGAGCGAGACCUCCGCUCUAGACUAAAGCGAAGGGUGAUCAGUUUGGCGGUGCUUGAGAGGGCUAGGAAGAGCCAGUGCGCUAGGAUUGCAAACUUAAGAGAUGGCGACGCAAACACCAAAUUCUUCCACCGGCGCAUUAACCCCCGUCGAAGAAAAAACCACAUCCAUCGGAUCAAGCGUGAGCAUGGUUGGGUAACUGAGCACAAGGAGAAAGAGAAGAUCAUUCACGACCAUUUCUCCGAGGUGAUGGGAAGGGGGAGCACGAGCAACAAAGACUUUAACUAG